UCCGUAGGCGGUGUGGCAAGUCGGAAGUGAAAUCUCUGGGCUUAACUCAGAGGCUGCUUCCGAAACUGCCGUGCUAGAGUGCGAGAGAGGCAAGUGGAAUUGCGGGUGUAGCGGUGAAAUGCGUAGAUAUCCGCAGGAACAUCCGAGGCGAAAGCGGCUUGCUGGAUCGCAACUGACGCUGAGGGACGAAAGCUAGGGGAGCAAACAGGAUUAGAUACCCUGGUAGUCCUAGCCCUAAACCAUCAGGACUUGGGGUUUGCCCUGUACGGGGCAAGUCCCGUAGCUAACGCGUUAAGUCCUGCGCCUGGGGAGUACGGUCGCAGGGCUGAA
rnacentral:rRNA from 1 species